rnacentral:rRNA from 1 species
UACGUAGGGUGCAAGCGUUGUCCGGAAUUAUUGGGCGUAAAGAGCUCGUAGGCGGUUUGUUGCGUCGGCUGUGAAAUCCCGAGGCUCAACCUCGGGUCUGCAGUCGAUACGAGCAAACUAGAGUGUUGCAGGGGAGACUGGAAAUUCCUGGUGUAGCGGUGAAAUGCGCAGAUAUCAGGAGGAACACCGGUGGCGAAGGCGGGUCUCUGGGCAACAACUGACGCUGAGGAGCGAAAGCGUGGGGAGCGAACAGG